rnacentral:rRNA from 1 species
UACGGAGGGGGCUAGCGUUGUUCGGAAUUACUGGGCGUAAAGCGUGUGUAGGCGGCCAAGCAAGUCGGAUGUGAAAGCCCAGGGCUCAACCCUGGAAGUGCACUCGAUACUGCCUGGCUUGAGUAUCGGAGAGGUUGGUGGAAUUCUCGGUGUAGAGGUGAAAUUCGUAGAUAUCAGGAAGAACACCCGUGGCGAAGGCGGCUCUCUGGGACGGUACUGACGCUGAGACGCGAAAGCGUGGGGAGCGAACAGG